rnacentral:rRNA from 1 species
GACGAACGCUGGCGGCGUGCUUAACACAUGCAAGUCGAACGGAAAGGCCCUGCUUUUGUGGGGUGCUCGAGUGGCGAACGGGUGAGUAACACGUGAGUAACCUGCCCUUGACUUUGGGAUAACUUCAGGAAACUGGGGCUAAUACCGGAUAGGAGCUCCUGCUGCAUGGUGGGGGUUGGAAAGUUUCGGCGGUUGGGGAUGGACUCGCGGCUUAUCAGCUUGUUGGUGGGGUAGUGGCUUACCAAGGCUUUGACGGGUAGCCGGCCUGGGAGGGUGACCGGCCACCUUGGGACUGCGAUACGGCCCAGUCUCCUACGGGAGGCAGCAGUGGGGAAUAUUGCACAGUGGGCGGAAGCCUGAUGCAGCAGCGCCGCGUGCGGGAUGACGGCCUUCGGGUUGUAAACCGCUUUCGCCUGUGACGAAGCGUGAGUGACGGUAAUGGGUAAAGAAGCACCGGCUAACUACGUG